GGCCGGUUGGCCCAAUGGUAAGGCGUCUGACUACGAUUCAAGCAUCCAUCACGGCUUGUAGUUAAUCAGGAGAUUCUGGGUUCGAGCCCCAGGCUGGUCA